rnacentral:rRNA from 1 species
UACAGAGGUCCCAAGCGUUGUUCGGAUUCACUGGGCGUAAAGGGUGCGUAGGUGGCGAGGUAAGUUCGAUGUGAAAUCCCCGGGCUCAACCCGGGAACUGCAUUGAAAACUCUCUCGCUCGAGGGUCGGAGGGGAGACUGGAAUUCUCGGUGUAGCAGUGAAAUGCGUGGAUAUCGAGAGGAACACCAGUGGCGAAGGCUAGUCUCUGGACGACACCUGACACUGAGGCACGCAAGCUAGGUGAGCACACAGG